UCUGAGGAUUUUUUGUGUCUC
rnacentral:piRNA from 1 species